GUUGAACGCUGGCGGCAUGCUUUACACAUGCAAGUCGAACGGCAGCGCGGGCUUCGGCCUGGCGGCGAGUGGCGAACGGGUGAGUAAUGCAUCGGAACGCGCCCAGUAGUGGGGGAUAGCCCGGCGAAAGCCGGAUUAAUACCGCAUACGACCUGAGGGUGAAAGCGGGGGACCGAAAGGCCUCGCGCUAUUGGAGCGGCCGAUGUCGGAUUAGCUAGUUGGUGGGGUAAAGGCUUACCAAGGCGACGAUCCGUAGCUGGUCUGAGAGGACGACCAGCCACACUGGGACUGAGACACGGCCCAGACUCCUACGGGAGGCAGCAGUGGGGAAUUUUGGACAAUGGGGGCAACCCUGAUCCAGCCAUGCCGCGUGCGGGAAGAAGGCCUUCGGGUUGUAAACCGCUUUUGUUCGGGAAGAAAUCCUCUGGGCUAAUACCCCGGGGGGAUGACGGUACCGGAAGAAUAAGCACCGGCUAACUACGUG
rnacentral:rRNA from 1 species